GUGCUCGUUUCGGCAGCACAUAUACUAAAAUUGGAACGAUACAGAGAAGAUUAGCAUGGCUCCUGCGCAAGGAUGACACACAAAUUCGUGAAGCGUUCCAUAUUUUU
rnacentral:snRNA from 1 species